GACGGUACCUAACCAGAAAGCCACGGCUAACUACGUGCCAGCAGCCGCGGUAAUACGUAGGUGGCAAGCGUUGUCCGGAAUUAUUGGGCGUAAAGCGCGCGCAGGCGGUCUUUUAAGUCUGAUGUGAAAGCCCACGGCUCAACCGUGGAGGGUCAUUGGAAACUGGAGGACUUGAGUGCAGAAGAGGAGAGUGGAAUUCCACGUGUAGCGGUGAAAUGCGUAGAUAUGUGGAGGAACACCAGUGGCGAAGGCGGCUCUCUGGUCUGUAACUGACGCUGAGGCGCGAAAGCGUGGGGAGCAAACAGGAUUAGAUACCCUGGUAGUCCACGCCGUAAACGAUGAGUGCUAGGUGUUGGGGGGUUCCACCCUCAGUGCUGAAGUUAACACAUUAAGCACUCCGCCUGGGGAGUACGACCGCAAGGUUGAAACUCAAAGGAAUUGACGGGGGCCCGCACAAGCAGUGGAGCAUGUGGUUUAAUUCGAAGCAACGCGAAGAACCUUACCAGGUCUUGACAUCCUCUGACAAUCCUGGAGACAGGACGUUCCCCUUCGGGGGACAGAGUGACAGGUGGUGCAUGGUUGUCGUCAGCUCGUGUCGUGAGAUGUUGGGUUAAGUCCCGCAACGAGCGCAACCCUUGAUCUUAGUUGCCAGCAUUUAGUUGGGCACUCUAAGGUGACUGCCGGUGACAAACCGGAGGAAGGUGGGGAUGACGUCAAAUCAUCAUGCCCCUUAUGACCUGGGCUACACACGUGCUACAAUGGACGGUACAAAGGGCAGCGACACCGCGAGGUGAAGCGAAUCCCAUAAAGCCGUUCUCAGUUCGGAUUGCAGGCUGCAACUCGCCUGCAUGAAGCCGGAAUUGCUAGUAAUCGCG
rnacentral:rRNA from 1 species